rnacentral:ribozyme from 1 species
GGUAGUUUUUCACAACACUAGAUGGGAUCUGAAGCCUCUUGAAGAUUCCAUCCAACUCCUAUUCCGACACGUCCAAGUCAUGCAGAGUGGUAUCAUGGGCCCAAGUCCAGCCAGUCAGCUGGAUGAAGACUCAAGGCUAAGAAGGAGGGA